rnacentral:rRNA from 1 species
AUUGAACGCUAGCGGGAUGCCUUACACAUGCAAGUCGAACGGAGUGGCGAACGGGUGAGUAAUGUAUAGGAACGUGCCCAGUAGUGGGGGAUAACGUCGGGAAAGCGUAGCUAAUACCGCAUACUAUUGGAGCGGCCGAUAUCGGAUUAGCUAGUUGGUGGGGUAACGGCUCACCAAGGCGACGAUCCGUAGCUGGUUUGAGAGGACGACCAGCCACACUGGAACUGAGACACGGCCCAGACGCCUACGGGAGGCAGCAGUGGGGAAUUUUGGACAAUGGGGGAAACCCUGAUCCAGCCAUGCCGCGUGUGCGAUGAAGGUCUUCGGGUUGUAAAGCACUUUUGGUUGGGAGGCGGUACCUGCAGAAUAAGCACCGGCUAACUACGUGCCAGCAGCCGCGGUAAUAC